GCACCAGCAGCCCCUCGGGGCCACCCCCAUCUCACAGUGCACGAUGAUGGGCCCUGCGUGAGGCAGACUUUCCUGCCGCUGGUUGAUCUGGUCCAGGAAGCUGAGGACACCCCCAGGCUCGCUGGGGACCCCGUGGUCAGGCCAGCUCAGGGAACACGGGUUCGAGCCCUGGUCCAGGAAGAUCCCACAUGCCGUGAAGCAACUAAGCCCGUGCGCCACAACUACUGAGUCCACGUGCCACAACUACUGCAGCCCGCGUGCCUAGAGCCUGUGCUCCGCAACAAAGAGAAGCCACCGCAAUGAGAAGCCCGCGCACCGCAACGAAGAGUAGCCCCCGCUCGCUGCCAACUAGAGAAAGCCCACACGCAGCAACGAAGAACCGACGCUGCCAAAAAUAAAGAAAGAAAGAAAAGAAAAGAAAAAAAGCGAGGAGUCUGUGAGGCAGAGAGAGCGCAGAGCCGGGAAGUCAGUCCCUAGCAGAAAUGAGCUCGCGCAAAGGCAUGGAAACCUUAGGGAGCCUGGCUGGUCAGAGGCAGCGAGGGCUGGAGGGCAGCCGCCAGGCCUGAGUGCCGGGUCCGGCAGUGUGACUGUUCUGAAGGCAGCUGGAAGCCUUGGCAGGGUUCUCAGAGGGAGCAGCCUGGUGCAGUGUGUGCUCUGCACGGGUCACGGCCACUCCACUGCAGAGGGUGCCGUGGGAAGGGGGCAGCCUGCAGGCAGGGAGGUAGCUUGCCCGUGGGGUGAGGGUUUGGGGCUGAUCCAGAGAGUAUUACGAGGCCGAGAGGACAGGAAGGGCUGCUGCCCCGAGCGGGCCAGCGGGACACUCUGAGGGAAGAGGCCCCCGGAGAGCUGGGUCUGCUGGUCAGGGGAGCCCAGGGUGGG